GACCGCGUCAAAGCCCACUAUGCACUGCGCACUGACCAGGCCCAGGCCGGACCAUGCUUCAUCCUCACCGCCCCUCCCGUCCCGCCUGCGACAGGCUCAGCACAGCAAACACAGGGACCUGGAAAGUUCUUGGAGCUUCAAUUUAUUUCCCCUCAGAAUUUAGGAGCUUCUCCUUUAAUUAACCCCCAAGCCUUCUUGGCAAGAAAUGAACAAACAGAAUCACAUCAGCAUCUCAUUUCAAUCCGGAGCAGGAAGUAGCAGCUCAGAGCCCCAGGGAGGAAAGGCAGGGAUGGGGAUUUGGAGAGCCCAGCCACCUCUGCUGAUAGGAAAGUGUGGGGGGCAGGGCGGGGCCAGCCCCCAUCAGAGGGUCCUGAGUCAGGAAGUGGGAGCGGGAACACACCUUCCAUCACUCAGUCCCCACAG